rnacentral:rRNA from 1 species
UACGUAGGGGGCGAGCGUUGUCCGGAUUUACUGGGCGUAAAGCGCGUGUAGGCGGUACUCUAAGUCCGGGGUGAAAUCCGGGGGCUUAACUCCAGAACUGCCUUUGAUACUGAAGAUCUUGAGUUCGGGAGAGGUGAGUGGAACUGCGAGUGUAGAGGUGAAAUUCGUAGAUAUUCGCAAGAACACCAGUGGCGAAGGCGGCUCACUGGCCCGAUACUGACGCUGAGGCACGAAAGCGUGGGGAGCAAACGGG